AGCAGUAGUAUUCCAUCUGUUUGGGGAAAGAUUUUGAUAGACAAUACAGUUUUAUGCAUUCUUUUUAUAAAAUCUGUGUGGUUUACAGGCCCUGCUCUGCACUGCUGUCGUCACGAGGAGAAGAAAAGUGUUUUUGGCAUGCGAGUGAAGGGCAAAAGAGAAAAGUGUGAAGCUAAUUCUGUGGAUUUCUAUACUGGGACCUUCCUAGUUCUCUUCUUUGUCAAGAAUAAAUCACAUAAUCAAAAGACUUUGGAUGGAACACAAUCCAACUGCAUGUUUAUAAGAGCAAUUUUGAAGCUAUUCAGUUAAACCCAACUGUGGAUUUCACUUGUCCCAGGGAAGUGAUCAGAACUAAAGUAACUUCAAUGAGAUCUUGCAUUCUAUCUGCUGUCAGUUUGGUUUGGAUUAUCACCUUGGAUGUGGGGUUCAGUGUUUUCACUGUGAUGGGGAGAUGUACUGAACUCUUCUCCAUAGUACACAAGAGUUUUGGACAUUACUCUGCCUUUAAAUAGAAGUAAUGUAGCAUUCCUGUGAUUUGGGGACUUUGGGUCCCCAUAGAGAACAGGAUUUGGAUCAGAAGUUAUAGAGGAAGCUUCUGAUCAUCCAGCUAUUAAAACCACCAUGACUGGUUCUGCCCAGAAGCUGCAUGACUACACAUGGAGCAGAAAAGUCACUCUUUACAGCCAGCUUUAAAGUUCUUUGAAACCAUUUGAAUUUUCAUCCUGACAAGCCUUUUCACACUGGCAUUUUCAAGAAAUAGAUUAGCUUCCGCGUACCAGCCUUCAGGAGUACAUAUGAGCUGAGACUUCAUUCAGAGUCUACACUAUAUCUGUGAAACUCAAAGUCAACCAGUCCAUUUGAACAAGAAAAAUGGUGUUUGGUUCCAGUAAGCUACCAUGGAGUGCUGUCCAGAUUUGACAAACGUUGCAGCGAGUUGCUUUUGUGUGCUUCGUAUGCAGUGCAAGCGCUGGAAAAUGCUUUUCACAUGAUGCAGCACUGCUAGUAGGUAAUCACUGGAGCAUUAAAACAAGAGAAUUUGUGUGUAUCCAGCAUGCUGCAGCAGGAUAAGCGGAAGUGAACAAAAUGAGCUGUGGAGUUUUUAGUAAGAUGUCCUUCCUGCUCCUCUUUUUCAUGUUGUGCUUUUGGUUAGCUUCACUAACAGCUAAAAGUGUGUACAUGAGAAAACCUUAAACCAAUGUGAAAACAGCUUUGUUUCUGUCCUAUUUUGGUCUGUUAUUUUUAAAGAACAUUUUCAGUUUAAUUAUGCAGCACUUAAAGUUGAAAUUAAACUGAAUUUGCAAUGGAAAGUGCUCACUUUAGUUAACUAUCAAAUUUACUGUGCUACUGGAAAAUAGCAGCCUUUGCUAUUACAAUGUGUUCUGGGAAAAUUAACUGGUUUGUUUUUUGAUAGGGAGAAAAUGCCCAAACUCUUGGCUCACUUAGAACAAGUUAGAAAUGUAAAAGGGAUGCCUGACAAAAUCAAGCCAGUAAUUUUUUGAAAAUACUGGAAAGCAUUUCAGAUAUUUUCCUCAACUGUUCACAAACUGGAAAUAUGGACAGGUUUCCUUUGUUACAUUUUCAUCUCUUUUCUUAAAUGCACUUUCCAAAUGUGGGUAGCAAAAAAAAAAUUCUUUAAAAAAACCUUGCAAUUAGCUUCUUGGCCCAGGGACACCUGACAUGAAAUCUUUUGCAGGGUGCAAUGAUUUAUUGUGACGGAUUUCUAUAAAGAGUGCAUAUUUAUAUAAGAUUGCACAGACCUUAAUAACUCUAUACCUCUGUUUUUAGUUUGUGAUGUACAGUUCUGUGUACACAGAACAUCCCAGACUAGUGUCUUCAGACCACCUUUUUCCUUUAAGCCCUAGGCAUUUUUAUCACUGUGCCAAUAAAAGGAAAGGGAUUUAUGGGGUACUGCUUUUUAAUUCAUUCAAUUCUCUGUUCAUUGUGAGGUUAAUGUUGUUGAUCUAUUUUUCUCUUGAAACAAAUAAAAACAAUAUGUGCUGA